rnacentral:rRNA from 1 species
UGGGGAAUUUUGGACAAGGGGGGAAAGCCGGAUCCAGCAAUGCCGCGCGAGUGAUGAAGGCCUUCGGGUUGUAAUGCAAUUUUGUCCGGAAAGAAAUCUAGCGGCAGUAACUGGUCUUUAACAUAGGACGUACCGC